UGCAUGUCUCAGUGCAAGCCGUCUAGUACGGUGAAACCGCGAAAGGCUCAUUAAAUCAGUUAUGGUUCCUUAGAUCGUACCCACGUUACUUGGAUAACUGUGGUAAUUCUAGAGCUAAUACAUGCCGACAGAGUUCCGACCAACUGGUGACAGAUGUGCGUCGGCCUCGGUCGUCGUCGCUGUACGGUUCGGAAGGAACGCUUUUAUUAGAUCAAAACCGGCCAGACGGUGGUUUCGCGUUCGCGCGCGUCUCCAUUCGUAAGCGGCCCGCGCAAAGACUUGGUGACUCUGAAUAACUUCGAGCUGAUCGCACGGUCCUCGUACCGGCGACGUAUCUUUCAAAUGUCUGCCUUAUCAACUGUCGACGGUAGGUUCGACGCCUACCGUGGUGGUAACGGGUAACGGGGAAUCAGGGUUCGAUUCCGGAGAGGGAGCCUGAGAAACGGCUACCACAUCCAAGGAAGGCAGCAGGCGCGCAAAUUACCCACUCCCAGCUCGGGGAGGUAGUGACGAAAAAUAACGAUACGGGACUCAUUCGAGGCCCCGUAAUCGGAAUGAGUACACUUUAAAACCUUGGUCACACGAGGAUCAAU
rnacentral:rRNA from 1 species